CGAAAGAUGAGAGUACGUGGCCGAUCGGAAUUACUUUUUCUUCCAUCAUAAACGCGAUGGAUGCAAUCAAUCUCUAUGACAUGGCCUUUAAGUGCAGGAAUCCACUUGGAAACAUUAGCUGUGAGAAAGCCGGCUGCGUUGGAGCCCUCCACCCCUCUCUGGUAACCCCACCAGUCAUACGUUAUUUCUCCUGCUUCUGUCCUUAAUGUCUGUCAUGUUAUUGUCACAGGUCGGGGGGGCCAAGCCGGACUGCACCCGCCCCUGAAACCCAGGAUCACCUCAGAGAGCGUACCAGAAGAACCAGACGGACUAAAGUAUAAAAAAAUUGAACAAGGUUUUAUUUGGUUAAAAGCAAUUUAAAAGUUCAGUGUUCCUUCCGUGUCUCCCGACCAGAACGAAGCCAGACCUCGGACGCCGGGGAGGCGUGGAGUCGUCGGCAGUUCGUGCCUGUACGGGGCCGGCAAGAGCCAGGAUAGUCUGUCACCCGUCCCGGAAUGAGGGGGGGAUAUCCGGGUAAGUAGAGCUCGUGGAUGUUUCGGUCGAGACCGGGAAAAGGAAUAUUUCUCGUGUCCACCUCCUUUUACAGGGACAUCACAUGCAGCGUCCAGCCCAGAGGAUCCUGCAAUCUCUUUUCAUAGGGACAUCACAUGCAGCAUUCGUCCCAGGGGAUCCUACGAUCUGCACAGCAGAGUAAGCAAUCGACAGCAGGGACAUCACAUGCGGCGUUCAGCCCAGAGAAUCCUGCGAUCUGCACAGCAGAGUACGUAAUCAACAGUAAGUAUGCGUUCUUGAAUAAGUAGUGGGGCUUACGGCUGGGGGAUGCUUCGGUUGUAACCAGGAAAAGAAUAAUUCUUGUGUCCACCUCCUUUCAUAGGGACAUCACAUGCGGCGUUCAGCCCAGAGGAUCCUGCGAUCUGCA